UACGAUCUCUACUGAAAGACAGGCAGCUGGGAUUACAGGGAGAAAGCUUUUAGUCUUUCACCAUUACGUAUGAUGCCAGCUGUGAUUCUUAUAAGCUGCAUUACAGUGAGGUGGUUGUGGGGACUUUCAGGCUGGGGUGAGGUGGUGGGCACAGCAGGGGGUGGGAGCUGCAUGGGGACCACUUUAUGAGGAAA